rfam:Faecalibacterium sp. CAG:1138 genomic scaffold, scf14
GAUAUCUCAAAAUUAGGUGGUGCAGUAUUCUAGUCAGACCUACCACAUCGAAGGCGGGGUUAAAAUACCGCUAAAGGGCAUAUCGAUGAAGUUUCUUGUGAUGGCCUGUUUUGCCCAAACUCGGGCUGUUGCUGGAAGUUAAGGUUCUUGGGCGACCCGUAAUGGCAUACGGAUCUCGACCCAACUACCGUGGAGGCCUUGUUGGGUGAACGUAAAAUCGUUUACUGGCAAGGGGUAAACCUGCAAUGCGGCUAAAGCUGUGUGCAGAGUAGCCUGCUUUGAGUGGUUGCAGUGAAUUCGGGAAUACGCCGUGUUGCGUUGGCCAAUGCGAUAUAGAGCGAUUGCCCGAUGAAACUGCCGUUGCAAAAGAAGAUAGAUGUGCGCAAAGUUUGCCAAGGAAAACUUCUAGACUGUUCGGCAGAGAUAUGUCAAGGAUUAUAGUGUGCUCUAAGUGGCAGUCCGGUCGUAUACGGGGUAACCCUAUACCGUAAGCGCGUAAUAGGAAACUUCUUGGUUGGCGACAACGAGUUGGUUUGCGGGGAAAGCCUACCGGACCUAAAGGCGCAAGGUUUACUUGACAUAUCACCACCGCAAAUUUUUUUAUA